AUGAGCAACCUCCAGUGUUAAGUGUGAAAAGUCAGUUCUUUGUGGAAAGCAUGAUUGAAUUUUCACAAUUGAGGAACUUGUCACAGUGUGUGAUCUGCCCAGAGGCACUCUCCAAAACACCAAAAAUUCUCCAGGAAUGUUUUCAUCUUUUUGAAACUCCAGUUUGCAUUUCCAGGAGCCAGGCUGACCUGUGUGCACAGUGUUCUGUAAAGGCAGUUUGUUUUUUCAGUUAAAGGUGGUGGGAGGAACACUGGAGUGGUGUCCACUGUUGAGAAAGAGAUGGGAACUCAUUCCUGAAGGAAAGAUGGGCGUAGAGAGCAUUAGGCUGCCCAGGCAUGUGGGCAAGCAGUGAGAACAGAAGUCUUUGGGGACAAAAGUCCUGUGCUAGAUUUGCCAAGAGAAAUAUCAACUGAUCUCUUUAAAAUGAGAUCCCUCCCACCCCCUACAUGGGGCCUGGAAAAUGUGGUCUGCUAGGUAUGGAGACACCAAAUAAACAGUACUGAGGCUCCCUGUGUGUCAGUCACCACCCCUGGCAAAUGCCAAAAUGCCUCACUUUGCUCGAGGAAUUUACAACUCAAGGUGUUUGUGUCACAGGCCAAGACGGGAGUGGAGGAUCUGUCCAUCAGAGGACAGAAUGCUUCCCCUAUGCCAAGGCGCCUCCUCUUGUAUUCACGCACAGCAUUUUCCUGAAACUGGUUACUGAGCCUGGAAUUUCUGUUAACGUUCAAAGGCAAAUGAGAAUUACCAAGCUGAGACGAGGGCUGGGGGUAUGCUAUCUUCCUUUAGUCCCUUUCAUAAAAGCCCUUGUGCUGUCCAGCUGCCUUUCUUUCCAGAAGGUGGUGGUCCAGUUUUAAUUAUGUUAACAGAGGGAGUAUAGCUAAAAAACGACUUACUCCAUCAAAAUCUCUUCCG
rnacentral:lncRNA from 1 species